AUCUACGGCCAUGCCACCCUGAACAAGCUCAAUCCCGUCUGAUCUCGGAAGCUAAGCAGGGUCGGGCCUGGUUAGUACUUGGGUGGGAGACCACCUAGGAAGACCAGGUGCUGUAGGCG
rnacentral:rRNA from 1 species